UACAGAGGUCUCAAGCGUUGUCCGGAUUCAUUGGGCGUAAAGGGUGCGCAGGCGGCGCGGUAAGUCGGGUGUGAAAUCUCGGAGCUUAACUUCGAAACUGCAUUCGAUACUGCCGUGCUUGAGGACUGGAGAGGAGACUGGAAUUUACGGUGUAGCGGUGAAAUGCGUAGAUAUCGUAAGGAAGACCAGUGGCGAAGGCGGGUCUCUGGACAGUUCCUGACGCUGAGGCACGAAGGUCAGGGGAGCAAACGGG
rnacentral:rRNA from 1 species